GAUGAACGCUAGCGGCAGGCCUAACACAUGCAAGUCGAGGGGCAGCACAGAAACAGCAAUGUUUUGGUGGCGACCGGCGGACGGGUGUGUAACGCGUAUGCAACCUACCUUUAACAGGGGGAUAACGGAGAGAAAUUUCCACUAAUACUCCAUAACAUCGAGUAAGGCAUCUUGAUUGGUUGAAAGCUCCGGGGGUCAAAGAUGGGCAUGCGUUGUAUUAGGUAGUUGGUGAGGUAAUGGCUCACCAAGCCUACGAUACAUAGGGGGACUGAGAGGUUAGCCCGCCACACUGGUACUGAGACACGGACCAGACUCCUACGGGAGGCAGCAGUGAGGAAUAUUGGUCAAUGGGGGCAACCCUGAACCAGCCAUGCCGCGUGCAGGAAGACGGCUCUAUGAGUUGUAAACUGCUUUUAAACAGGGAUAAAGCACAGUAUGUAUACUGUGUUGAAGGUACUGUAAGAAUAAGGAUCGGCUAACUCCGUGCCAGCCGCCGCAGUAA
rnacentral:rRNA from 1 species